rnacentral:rRNA from 1 species
AGAGUUUGAUCCUGGCUCAGAACGAACGCUGGCGGCAGGCUUACACAUGCAAGUCGAACGCCCUCUUCGGAGGGAGUGGCAGACGGGUGAGUAACACGUGGGAAUCUACCUAUCUCUGCGGAACAACACAUAGAAAUGUGUGCUAAUACCGCAUACGCCCUCCGGGGGAAAGAUUUAUCGGAGAUAGAUGAGCCCGCGUUUGAUUAGCUAGUUGGUGAGGUAAUGGCUCACCAAGGCGACGAUCAAUAGCUGGUCUGAGAGGAUGAUCAGCCACACUGGGACUGAGACACGGCCCAGACUCCUACGGGAGGCAGCAGUGGGGAAUAUUGGACAAUGGGCGCAAGCCUGAUCCAGCCAUGCCGCGUGAGUGAUGAAGGCCCUAGGGUUGUAAAGCUCUUUCAACGGUGAAGAUAAUGACGGUAACCGUAGAAGAAGCCCCGGCUAACUUCGUGCCAGCAGCCGCGGUAAUACGAAGGGGGCUAGCGUUGUUCGGAAUAACUGGGCGUAAAGCGCACGUAGGCGGAUUGGAAAGUUAGAGGUGAAAUCCCAGGGCUCAACCCUGGAACUGCCUUUAAAACUAUCAGUCUAGAGGUCGAGAGAGGUGAGUGGAAUUCCGAGUGUAGAGGUGAAAUUCGUAGAUAUUCGGAGGAACACCAGUGGCGAAAGGCGGCUCACUGGCUCGAUACUGACGCUGAGGUGCGAAAGUGUGGGGAGCAAACAGGAUUAGAUACCCUGGUAGUCCACACCGUAAACGAUGGAAGCUAGCUGUCAGAUGUAUACAUUUUGGUGGCGCAGCUAACGCAUAGCUUCCCGCCUGGGGGAGUACGUCGCAGAUAAAACUCAAGGGAAUGACGGGGCCGCACAAGCGGGGGGGAGCAUGUGAUAUCGAGCACGCGCAGAACCUACAGGCAUUGAAAUACGGAUCGGGUCCAAUGAAUCUCAGUUAGCUGAAUCGAACGUCGCAUGGCGUUCAGCUGUCUAGUAGUUUGGUAAGUC